UCAAAGGGUUACGAAAAUUUAUUUACGAAUUGCAGGCCAAAGUACUAUAUGCACGAUGCGCGUAUAUCCGCAAGGGACAGCGAGAUCACACGACUGAUAAAGCGAAUGCAACUGUAGGCUACAUUUAGUAAACACGAGAGAAUCACAUUGCGCAUGCGUGUACUAAUACGAGCCUACGUUUAGACCAUUGCGAAUUGCGAGGCACAUGCUAACUAUAGUUAUAUAUAACCGUUGAGUGGAUUAAAAUACCAACUAACGCAGUUCUGGUGCUUCGAAGAUAUUUAAUAUCUCUAUAUUGUUUUCUACUUCAUUAAUGAUUCGUUGCAAUGUUGUUAUUAACAGUUCCACGCUCAAUGUUCAACAUUCGCAUUCAUUUCCAGCGCUUAAUGUUACAUGACAUUGCACUUUAACGAGCUAUCAAUUAAUUAGAUGAUCAAUCUGUCUGUUUCCAGUAAAAAGGGACUUAACCUCUAAUGCAUUAUGUCUCCUUCAUAAAAUUACCCGAAAUAGAGGUAUGUCCAUUAUUAAUAAUUAAUAAAAAAAUAGUUGUGAAAAUCGUAGAAGAAAAACAAUGCUUUUGUUGAAUUUCUGAUUGCAAUGUCGUUCUAUAAUUAAACAGAAUUUAAUAUAACGUAACUGAGGAUGAAGACGAUCUGUUAGGUUUACAAAUAUCAAAGCCCAGAUAUUGCCCGGCAUUGCAACUUUAGGGAGUCCAAUAGCCUCAGAAAUUAUGAUUGAAAAGAGUUAAAAGAAACAAUAUUUUAGUAUCUUUAAUAUUCUAGUAUAAUGAAGAAUAAUAUUUUGAAGAUCUUACAGAAGAUGAAGAGACACAUAUUUAACUCUAAAAUCAAAUCUAUCAUAAAACCAAUCUGGACGUACGGGAUACCACUAUGGGGGACAGCAGCAAUGAGCCAUAUAAACAAAAUAGAGAAACAAGGACAUACGAGGGACCUGGGAAUAUCAACGUGCAAGGAAGAAAUUAGCAGAUACGCAGAAAAAUACAAAGAAAGAAUAGCAACACACCCAAACUGGCUGACUGCGGAAGCGAUCAACAUCUGAAACAUGGACUGAAAAGGAAACACCCAGCAGACGUCACAAAGGACAUAACCUAACAAACGCGAGGAUGGAACCCCACUGAAGGUAGUCACCCACGUGAUAAUCAAACAGUUAAAAAAUUCUUCCAAAUGUCCAAAUUGGACAAAUUGAGAAUAUAAAGAAUUAAAUAAAAAAAAAAAAAAAAA